rnacentral:rRNA from 1 species
UACGUAGGGUGCAAGCGUUAAUCGGAAUUACUGGGCGUAAAGCGUGCGCAGGCGGUUUUGUAAGUCUGACGUGAAAUCCCCGGGCUCAACCUGGGAAUGGCAUUUGGGACUGCAAGGCUGGAGUGCGGCAGAGGAGACUGGAAUUCCUGGUGUAGCAGUGAAAUGCGUAGAUAUCAGGAGGAAUACCGAUGGCGAAGGCAGGUCUCUGGGCUGACACUGACGCUCAUGCACGAAAGCGUGGGGAGCAAACAGG